AGCCUUCUGUAUCCGUGCUGAGAUUUCGUCACACACCAGACCACAAGGGCUGAUGAGUUCAUAUAUGUGCUCAAUCCA
rfam:Schistosoma haematobium scaffold165_41, whole genome shotgun sequence.